UACGGGGGGGGCAAGCGUUGUUCGGAAUUACUGGGCGUAAAGGGCUCGUAGGUGGCCAACUAAGUCAGACGUGAAAUCCCUCGGCUUAACCGGGGAACUGCGUCUGAUACUGGAUGGCUUGAGAUUGGGAGAGGGACGCGGAAUUCCAGGUGUAGCGGUGAAAUGCGUAGAUAUCUGGAGGAACACCGGUGGCGAAGGCGGCAUCCUGGACCAACACUGACACUGAGGAGCGAAAGCUAGGGGAGCGAAUGGG
rnacentral:rRNA from 1 species